rnacentral:rRNA from 1 species
GCCAGACUCCUACGGGAGGCAGCAGUGAGGAAUAUUGGUCAAUGGCCGAGAGGCUGAACCAGCCAAGUCGCGUGAGGGAUGACGGCCCUACGGGUUGUAAACCUCUUUUGUCGGGGAGCAAAGAGAGUCACGUGUGGCUCAUUGAGAGUACCCGAAGAAAAAGCAUCGGCUAACUCCGUGCCAGCAGCCGCGGUAAUACGGAGGAUGCGAGCGUUAUCCGGAUUUAUUGGGUUUAAAGGGUGCGCAGGCGGAAGAUCAAGUCGGCGGUAAAAUUGAGAGGCUCAACCUCUUCGAGCCGUUGAAACUGGUUUUCUUGAGUGAGUGAGAAGUAUGCGGAAUGCGUGGUGUAGCGGUGAAAUGCAUAGAUAUCACGCAGAACUCCGAUUGCGAAGGCAGCAUACCGGCGCUCAACUGACGCUCAUGCACGAAAGUGUGGGUAUCGAACAGGAUUAGAUACCCCCGUAAGC